rnacentral:lncRNA from 1 species
AAUGUAUCCCACUCCAGACCUUUCCAUGAAGCUCCGAGGACAUUAAAGGCAAGUCAGAUGUCUAAGCAAUGUCCCAUCACCCUCUGUGGAGGAGAGGCUGUGUCUGGGGUUGAGAUUCUGUCAAUACCUCCCUCUGCUCUGGCACCUGCUGCUCUUCCUGGCCAUUCCCAGUCUUCACAGCCUGACAUCACCGUUGCUGCAAGAUAGCAAUGGUUAAAAAUGGACCAUGGCAAUUAUGAGCAAAGAUGGCUGCCUCCCUCACUGGACAGCAAAAGUGGAAAUCUCAUCCUACCAGCCACCAGGAGAGCUGGCCCUGUGUAAGCCAGGCAGGCUUUGGCUGGAGGACCAGUAUGCAUGGGACCCCUAAAGCACCAUCAUGAAUGGAAGUAAGUGCAGGAGAAAUUUGCCAAGGAGAUUACCUUCUGGAAAUCACUGUACUUGUUUAAAAGAAGCCCAUGCUGAUAAGGGGCAGGUAGAGGCUGUGACCUCAAGGUUAAUUGUCUUUAGCUAAGACAGGGUCUUGCUUCCUGUGUAUGUUUUAAAGAAUAGGAUGUAUAAUGGCCCACCAUCCCAAAUGGUGCAGAACACCUGAGAAUCACAGUCUAGCGUUCAUUGUCCUGCCCCCACCCCCACACACCUCCCUGUGUAGUACCUAACCUCUCUAAAUAAAGUGUUGAGCAAAUGUUUAAAGAAAAUCAGGUUUUUCUUGGUUCCUGUAACAAGAAGCUAGCGCCAGUAGCUGCCUCUGGGGAGUGAAGCUGGGUGGAAUCUUGUUAUGUGUAGGAAAGGCUUAGAAGGAAAUGCUGUACAGAUCACUGCGGUCCUGAUGGGACCCAAGGAUAGGCUCUGGGCAUCAUUAGCAUCCUGCCUACAUCC